GCUGGGUGUGGUGGUGCACACCUGUAAUCCCAGCUACUCAGGAGGCUGAGGCAGGAUAAUCGCUUGAACCCAGGAGGCAGAGGUUGCAGUGAGCUGAGAUCGUGCCACUGCACUCUGCCUGGGUGACAGAGCAAGACUCUGUCUCAA
ensembl:misc_RNA Metazoa_SRP Metazoan signal recognition particle RNA